GGAGACUGCUGUUCAUGAAGGUGAGGAGUAGUGUGGGGGCUCUAAAACCCUACAGUAUGUUGGACAGUUUAUAUGUGCAAGAUGUCAUUAUAGUAAUGGACACAUUCAAAAACGGUAAGGAAUCACCUGCAGUUAGGUCUUCAACAGUUCCCUUUCUCUGAUAUUUCUGCCCUGUGUUUCUCUUUCUAGUGGCUCUCUGUGGCAGGCUACAAACAGGAUUGCUAAGCCCUUUAACAGCCAAAAGAUCACUUCGUUAAGCACUCUCAUAUCAAGGCACAGUUCAAGUGAGUCUUUCUUCUCAUGGAAAAUUAAACACCCACUAUGGACUCUGGUGAAGAAGAGUGAGAAAACUGAUAUCCUCAGGCCCAACCUCAGCUGCAGAUGCUGCUACAUCCAGCACACGAGAAUUAUGGGGAAGUGAGCAGUGACUUCAGCUAGCUUGUUUUACAACAUCUAGCACAAGGUGCAUUGCAUAGAAACUAGUGACUAAAAUGACAUCACAGUUGCCUCACUGGUGACAGGAACAAUGUACCCUUGAUUGCCAAAACAAGUUGGCAAGAACAGAAGUGCUAGUGGGAAUAUGUGGAGACUUACAAAUCCCGAAGUGAUCCAUUUGUCUUUUGUGGAGUUAUGGGCAGCUUUUCUGGUCACUUCUGUGUUGUCUUGAGCGUGCCUGUUCACGAUCACUCUGGGAUGCCUGUGCUAUUAGUUUCCUCUUCCUGAGGCCACAAUGAUGUUUGUUUAUUUAUUUAUUUAUUUUAAACAAAAUACCGAUUCAAACAUAUUAAAAUUGUUAUAAACACCAGUCUUGAAAAAAACUGUAAAAGGCGCAGUUGUGCAAAACAGCCAGCACUGAGGGCAAUUUUCAGCAUUUUUCUGGUAAGAUUAAUAAGUUCUACUGAACCACACGCAUCUGUCUACCUGAACAGGGAGGGCAGAUCCUGACCUCUUACUCAUUCAGACUGAUGCUUGGUGGCCUGAGUCUCCAUGUCAUUCAUGACAUCAUGUCACAUGGCUCACUUGACAACUUAAUAUUUGCAGAAAUUCACUCCGGCUUAUUGAAGAGUUUUCCAUGGUUACUCAAGAUUCACGAUCACAGAUGGACACUGGUACCCCAUUAUUACUGAUGCUUACUGUGUCUUAUCAGAGACUAACCCCCAAUGUUCAGAUGUAAGAGUAUGGCAUGCAAAUGAAAUGCAACAUGAGUAAUGACCCAGUUCUGAGAAUUUCCAAAUAAGCAGCAACCUCUUCUCCGUUUCUGAUUGCAGAGCUGCAUAUUGAACUGCGCACCUAUUACCUUUUGGGGACACAUCACACUGCCAUUCACAGGCAAGACUGAAAUUUUAUUAUUGCUACUUUAAAGAGAAAGGUCAAGAAAGAAGGAAUUGCUCUAUACUUGCAGAGAUGAGGGUUGUUUUUCCUAAGUAAAGAAAAAAAGGGAGGGGGGGGGGAAUUUGUUCCCCAUUUUCUUCCUAAGAAAGUAUGAUGAUUCUGGACAUUUUUACACAGAGAUGUUAGUCCCUAUUGUUGAUUAAAAAAUAAAUAAAUCCUGAAGCACAUUAUAAAUGUAUUACCACAGCAUUUCACUUGCAUGAGGAGCUAAACCUUAGAUCUGAUUAUAUGUCCACACUGUCCUCAGUUAGAAUGGCCAGAAACCAUUCCCAUUGGUUCUUCACCAGAAUCAAGAUCCCAUUCUUCAUUAAUACAACCAAAAAGCAUAUUGUUUCUCCAAGCCUAAUGUCUCCUUGCUUCACACAGGCAUGGGAAUGAUCUGUUCUGACUGAAGACUUCUGCUUACUUCAUGUGGUGAUGAUGUUACUCU
rnacentral:lncRNA from 1 species